CUAGAUCUCGAAUGUCUUCGUUUUGAGCGGAAGAAUGGAUGUCCAUGAGAAUUUCUCAAAAUUUGGACCAUUAUAUCUUUUCCAGGUUGACCAAUUAGUCAAACCAAAACCUAUAUGAGUCAGUGUCCCAAAUAUCAUGUUUGGCGACAACAUGAGAUUCGAUAUUCGAAUCAUAGUGACAUACAGUCCACUAGAUUGACUCAUGAAUUUCUCUAAGAUGCGCUUUAGUCCGCAUUCAUGGGAAGGUAUACACAAAAGAAUUCUUGUUCAUUCUCACAAUGUGUUUUCAAAUGAAAACCAUUAGCAUGAAUGUCUUUAAAGCUCAACAUGGUUCCUUAGAAUGUUGUGGAUAGUUCCACUAUCUGCGAAGCACUCAAUGUCUCUAUGAGACAUAACUACAAGGAGUAGAUAGGCGAGUAAAUAGUUCUACUUGAACCAUUUAGAAGGAUUGAAAGAAGCUACGAAAAGCUGUAAUCCCGAGAGUGCAUAAAAAUUUCCGCGCAGAAUGACCUUUGUGCACUAAAACAGCCAUAACUUCUUCGUUAAAAUAGAUAUGGAUGAACCGUGAAAAUUUCUGAAAACUAGACUCAUAGAGCUUUCCAAUGAUAUAAAGCUCACUGUCUGGUUCGUCCGGAGCUGUUCACAAAGCUCAAACUAAGUUGACUGUCCAGAAGGGACAUAUUGCUGUUUUUUGCAUAUUUGGCAUGUGCGAAGCUGUGAAGCUUGCAGGUGGCGUGUAGGCUUUUGCCUUAGCCAAAAGUGACGUGUGUAUGAUCAAAACCAAGUCCUUUCGAUCGUUCUAAGGUCGUAAACUUCAUGACUAGUUAGCUAAAGCUCCCUGACAUGAACAUAAACUAACUCAGAGGACCUAGAGGAUCCGAUCAUGAUGAUAAUUUUCCAGCUUUGAUAAGUCUUCAACGUCUUUUGCAAGACGGCAAUUGGUUUAAUAGCGUAGGGGGAUCCAAAAUCAAAAGCUUUCAGUAACUCCAAGUCAGUAUGACCAGACAUGUCUGUGGAGGGUCGGUAGUGCGAGGCACACUUAAAACCACUAUCUCCUUAAUUUCGGACAAUUCUAAGACAUCACACUGAGCUUGGAUGAGCCUAGUUGAACAAUUGAUGAUGAAAAAUCCGCUAUAGGGUAGAAGACUUAACCGGAAACACGUGGGCGAUCCUCCUUGAGGAUGCAGUGCCAAGAGUCACCUUCAAAGGAAGGGACCAAAAUCGGCACAAUAUGUCAUGUUUCUAAGGACGAUGUAAGUGUACAUCUUGAUUGUAAAUCAAUAUGAACCAUAAGAGGAGAAUAAUUUCACUUCGAAAAAAUUCUCAAGGCAUUCAUUAUUGCUAAUGUGAGUACAUCGAGGUCUCAAAUAAACAAAGGACGUCGAUACAACGCCUUAGUACAUAUAACUUGGAACGAAAAUCAAUGUUUAGCCGAUGACAUCAAAGUCAUGGGUAGC
rnacentral:lncRNA from 1 species